rnacentral:rRNA from 1 species
AUGACUUUCAGCAAAGGAUAUCUCAGCUCUUGCAUCGAUGAAGAACAUAACAUAAUGUGAUACUUUGUAUGAAUUGCAUAUUCUCAUGAACCAUCAAGUCUUUGAAUGCAAGUAGUGCUCUAAGCCAUUAGGUCAAGGGCACGCUUACCUGGGUGUCAUGCAUCAUUGCCCCUUUCAACUCCCUACCCAUCGGGCUUCAGGUGAGGGGGUAAAAGAUGGCCUCUCGUGAUCUUGUCAGUUGUGGUUGGCCUAAAAGUAAGUCCCCAGCAAUGAUAGUGCCAUGACUAUCAAUGGUAAAGCUCUCGACAUGCCUCGUCUUUGGUGACAUGCACUCAUUGUCCAUCCAAACCCCAUCGGACCCUCCACAUCACUUAGUUAAUGCUUGUAUCAAAACCUUAGGUUAGGAGGGAUUACCCACUAAGUUUAAGCAUAUCAAUAAGUGAAGAAAAAGAAACUUACCAAGAUUCCACUAGUAAUAACGAGCGAACUAAGAAUAGCCCAGCUUGAGAAUCAGGCACCCUUAAAGUCUAAAUUGUAGUUUAGAGAAGCGUUCUCAAUGAUAGAUUGGGCCCAAGUCUCCUGAAAAUGGGUGCAAGAGAGGGUGAGAGCCUUAUUAUGCCUAGACCUUAUUGCACUACUAAGUGUUGUCUAUGAGUUGGAUUGUUUGGGAAUGCAAUCACAAUCGGGAGGUAAAUUUUGUCCAAGGCUGAAUAUGGUGAGAGACCGAAAGUAAACAAGUACCAUAAGGGAAAAAUGAAAAAAACUUUUAAAAAAGAGUCAAAGAGUGCUUGAAAUUGUUAAGAGGGAAGCGAAUGAGGGCCAGUGAUACACCCUAGUUGGAUGUGAAACGACAAGAGUUGGUUUGUUGAUCAGCUCAGGGCAUGGAUCGAUGUAGGUCAUAACCAUGGUCCAAGCCUAGGCUUUCAAUAUGCCUAUUGAGAAUUUGUCACCAUGAUUAUGGAAUGUAGCACACCUCAUCUCAACAUGCCUUACCAUCAACAUACUCAUGGCAUCAGCCUACAGCUCUGUAUCCGACCCAUCUUGAAACAUGAACCAAGUAAUUUGACAUGUGUGUGAGUCAAAAGGCUAGAAAACCUAUAAGGCAUAAGGAAGCUUAUUGGUGGGAUCCUUAGUGGGUGCACCACUGACCAACCUUGAUAUUUUAAGAAAGGUUUAAGUGUGAGCAAGCCUGUCAAAAUGCAAAAAAUGGUGAACUAAGCCUAAGUAGGGCGAAGCCAAAGGAAACUCUGGUGGAGGCCCACAACGAUACUGAUGUGCAAAUUAUUUGUUUGAUUUAGGUAUAAGGGCAAAAGACUAAUCAAACUAUCUAGUAACUAGUUCCCUCUAAAGUUUUUCUUAGGAUAGCUAGAGCCCUUAGUGAGUUUUAUCAGGUAAAGCCAAUGAUUAGAGACAUCAGGGGCAUAAUGCCUUUGAUCUAUUUUUAAACUUUAAAUAGGUAAGAUGGUGUGGCUACUUCAUUGAGCCAUGAUUAAGAUAAUAGGACAGUGGUAAUGGAAGUCAAAAUCCACUAAAGAGUGUGUAACAACUCACUUAUCGAAGCAACUAGCCCCAAAAACGGAUGGCACUUAAGUGCAUGACCUACACUCGACCAUUGGAGUAAGGGCCAAGUCCUGAUGAGUAAAAAGGUGUAAUGGUCACCAUGAAACUUAGGCCACAAACCCAAGUAGAGUAGCCAUUGAUGCAAAUCUUAGUGGUAAUAGCAAAUAUUCAAAUGAGAACUUUAAAGGCUGAAGAAAGGAAAGGUUUCAUGUGAAUGACAGUUGCACAUGGGUAAGUUGAUCCUAAAAGAUAGGGGAAGCCCAUCCGAUAGCACAUCCAAUAAAGCUUCAAAAAGGAAUCAAGUUAAAAUUCUUAAACCAGGACAUGGUGGCUGAUGACAACAUUAGGGAGUUCAAUGACAUCAAUAGGGGCCUUGGGAAGAGUUAUUUUUUCUAUUUAACGGCCUACCCACCCUAGAAAUAGCUUAAUCGAAGGUAGGGUGCACUAACUGGAAAAGCACCGCCCAUUAUGUGGUGUCUAGUACAACCCUGAUAGCCUUUAAAAAUCCAGAGGACUAAGCGAUGUCAAUGCCCAAUCAUACUCAUAACCCCAUUAGGUUUCCAAGGUGAACAACCUCUGGUCAAUGGAAUAGCGUAGCUAAGGGAAAUUAGCAAAAUGGAUUUGUAACCUCAGGAAAAGAUUAGCUAUGAAGGGGCCUCUCUAGGAGACAAAUAAUUAGUUCAAAACUAGUAUGAAUAAGGGGAAUCCGACUAUUUAAUUAAAAAUAAGCAUUACGAUGGUCCCUGCAAAUGCUCAUGCAAUGUGAUUUCUUCCCAGUGCUUUGAAUGUUAAAGUGAAGAAAUUUAACCAAGCACAAGUAAACAAUGGGACUAAUUAUGACUCUCUUAAGGUAGCCAAAUGCCUCAUAAUCUAAUUACUGAUGCACAUGAAUGGAUUAAUGAGUUUCCCACUUUCCCUGCUUUCUAUCUAGUGAAACCACAACCAAAGGAAUGGGCUUGGUAGAAUCAAAGGGGAAAAAAGACUUUUUUUAAGGUUUGACUUUAGUCUGACUUUGUGAAAUGACUUGAAAGGUGUAGGAUAAGUGGUAGCCCUCAAGCAAAAUUGAAAUAUCACUACUUUUAAUGUUACUUUUCUUAUUUUAUGAAUUAGAGGUGGGCCAUGACCCCUUUUUUUGGACCUAAGGUUGGCCUUGAUUGGUCAAUCUAAGUGGAAGACAUUGUCAAGUAGGAAGUUUGGCUGGGGUGACACAUCUAUUAAAAGAUAAUACAGAUGUCCUACGAUGAGCUCAACGAGAAGGAAAAUCUCAUAUGGAACAAAAGGGUAAAAGCUCAUUUAAUUCUGAUUUUCACUAGAAUAUGAACCGUGAAAGUGUGGCCUGUCGAUCUUUUAGACCUUAGGAAUUAAAAGCUAGAUCUAUUAGAAAAGUUACCAUAGGGAUAAUUUGUGGUAGCUAAACGUUCAUAGUGAUAAUGCUUUUUGGUCCUUCGAUGUUGGCUUUUCGUAUCAUUAUAAAGCAAAAUUUUCCAAGUGUUGGAUUGUUCACUCACCAAUAAGAAAUGUGAGCUGGGUUUAGACCAUCAUGAGAUAGGUUAGUUUUACCCUACUGAUGAUAGCAUCGCAUGAGUAAUUCAACCUAGUAUGAAAGGUAUUGUUGAUUCGCACAAUUGGUCAUCGUGCUUGGUUGAAAAGCCAGUGGUGUAAAGCUACUGUGCAUUGGAUUAUAACUGAAUGCCUCUAAGUUAGAAUCCAAGCUAGAAGUGAUGCAUGCACCCAUCGCUUGAAUACCGACCCACAAUAGGGGCCCAUGGCCCUUAAGGGCACAUGUCGUAUGUGUAGCCCUCAAGGCGAACAAGCUAUUUGAGCUUUUUUAGAGCUUAAUUCCCACUAAACAGAGGGUACAAUCC